AAAUGUUUAAUUAAAGAGUCUAUUUUUACAUAAAUAUUUGAAAGUUAUCUUUGUAUGCCAUAAAAUAAUGCUUCCCGUUCUUAUGGUACUUUAUAUUUUUCAGGUGAUUUCAUACAGUAUCCUUCACCAGAAUUUGGUUACACAUCGGGGAGCCACUGCUGGUCUUUUAGAAAUGAGAAAACUGAACCCACUAGAGUGUCUACAUUCUGAGAAGCCCAAAUUUCGUGAAGGAUGACCUGACAUCCUCAUGUGAGUUUCCAGGUGAAAGCAAGCACCACCUGCAGCCUUCUGAGUGAGCCAUCUGGGAAACCCAAGCAGUCAAGCUCCCAGAUUACUGCAGUUCCUGCCAACAGCAGAGAGAGAGGAAAGAAGAACCAUGCUGCUGAGUUCUGUAAGCCCAAAGGACCAGGAGAAAUCACAAAAUUGUUGUUUUAACCACUCAAUUUUUAGAGUGAUUUCUUAUGUACUUACAGAUAAAUGAAACCAAUAUAGUUUAUUGUGGCCAGCUGUAUAGAAUAAAACAAUAAGAAAUGAUUAAUUAUUCAAGGUAAGGUCAUAGAAGUUUAGAAUAUGUGGUAACACUGAAGUCUGGUUUAAAGACAAAGCAGAUGUUUGCUAGAAAGACAGGAUGGAAAAGUGUUCCAGAAAAUUGAAGCAAUAAAAGAAAAGCAAAGGAUAAGACCAUUUGGAAAACUGCACAAGUAAAAGGCAUGUGUAUAGAAAGGGUGAAAAAGAGUUGAAUCUUGGCCGGGCAUGGUGGCUCACACCUGUAAUCCCAGCACUUUGGGAGGCCAAGGCAGGCAGAUCACCUGAGGUGAGGAGUUCAAGACCAGCCUGGCCAACAUGGUGAAACCCUGUCUCUACUAAAAAUACAGAAAAUAGCUGGAUAUGGUGGCUCGUGCCUGUAGCCCCAGCUACUUGGGAGGCUGAGAAAUGAGAAUUGCUUGAACCCAGGAAGCAGAGGUUGCAGUGGGCUGAGAUCCCACCACUGCACUCCAGCCUGGAUGACAGAGUGAGACUCCGUCUCAAAAAAAAAAAAAAAAAAGAGCUGAAUCUAGAAAACUUAUUGGGUUGAAUUCUCUGAAGGCAGUAUAUGUAA
rnacentral:lncRNA from 1 species